AAGUCGAGGGGCAGCAUGGUCUUAGCUUGCUAAGGCCGAUGGCGACCGGCGCACGGGUGAGUAACGCGUAUCCAACCUGCCUUACACUCUUGGACAGCCUUCUGAAAGGGAGAUUAAUACAAGAUGUUAUCAUGAGUAAGCAUUUUCGCAUGAUUAAAGGUUUACCGGUGUAAGAUGGGGAUGCGUUCCAUUAGAUAGUAGGCGGGGUAACGGCCCACCUAGUCUUCGAUGGAUAGGGGUUCUGAGAGGAAGGUCCCCCACAUUGGAACUGAGACACGGUCCAAACUCCUACGGGAGGCAGCAGUGAGGAAUAUUGGUCAAUGGACGAGAGUCUGAACCAGCCAAGUAGCGUGAAGGAUGAAGGUUCUAUGGAUUGUAAACUUCUUUUAUACGGGAAUAAACGGAUCCACGUGUGGAUUUUUGCAUGUACCGUAUGAAUAAGGAUCGGCUAACUCCGUGCCAGCAGCCGCGGUAAUACGGAGGAUCCGAGCGUUAUCCGGAUUUAUUGGGUUUAAAGGGAGCGUAGAUGGGUUGUUAAGUCAGUUGUGAAAGUUUGCGGCUCAACCGUAAAAUUGCAAUUGAUACUGGCAGUCUUGAGUACAGUUGAGGUAGGCGGAAUUCGUGGUGUAGCGGUGAAAUGCUUAGAUAUCACGAAGAACUCCGAUUGCGAAGGCAGCUUACUAACCUGUAACUGACAUUGAUGCUCGAAAGUGUGGGUAUCAAACAGGAUUAGAUACCCUGGUAGUCCACACGGUAAACGAUGAAUACUCGCUGUAGGCGAUAUACAGUCUGCGGCCAAGCGAAAGCAUUAAGUAUUCCACCUGGG
rnacentral:rRNA from 1 species